GAUGAACGCUGGCGGUGUGCCUAAUACAUGCGAGUCGAGCGAACAGAUGAGGAGCUUGCUCCUCUGACGUUAGCGGCGGACGGGUGAGUAACACGUGGAUAACCUUCCUAUAAGACUGGGAUAACUUCGGGAAACCGGAGCUAAUACCGGAUAAUAUAUUGAACCGCAUGGUUCAAUAGUGAAAGACGGUUUUGCUGUCACUUAUAGAUGGAUCCGCGCCGCAUUAGCUAGUUGGUAAGGUAACGGCUUACCAAGGCAACGAUGCGUAGCCGACCUGAGAGGGUGAUCGGCCACACUGGAACUGAGACACGGUCCAGACUCCUACGGGAGGCAGCAGUAGGGAAUCUUCCGCAAUGGGCGAAAGCCUGACGGAGCAACGCCGCGUGAGUGAUGAAGGUCUUCGGAUCGUAAAACUCUGUUAUUAGGGAAGAACAAAUGUGUAAGUAACUAUGCACGUCUUGACGGUACCUAAUCAGAAAGCCACGGCUAACUACGUG
rnacentral:rRNA from 1 species